AACGAACGCUGGCGGCAUGCCUAACACAUGCAAGUCGAACGAGACCUUCGGGUCUAGUGGCGCACGGGUGCGUAACGCGUGGGAACCUGCCUUUAGGUUCGGAAUAACUCAGAGAAAUUUGAGCUAAUACCGGAUAAUGUCUUCGGACCAAAGAUUUAUCGCCUUUUAGAUGGGCCCGCGUAAGAUUAGCUAGUUGGUGGGGUAAAGGCCUACCAAGGCGACGAUCUUUAGCUGGUCUGAGAGGAUGAUCAGCACACUGGGACUGAGACACGGCCCAGACUCCUACGGGAGGCAGCAGUGGGAAUAUUGGACAAUGGGCGAAAGCCUGAUCCAGCAAUGCCGCGUGAGUGAUGAAGGCCUUAGGUUGUAAAGCUUUUUAUCCGUAGAUGAUAAUGACAGUAUCGGGAGAAUAAGCUCCGGCUAAC
rnacentral:rRNA from 1 species